UUGAGCGCGUGGCCGAAGAUGACCUUGAAGCCCGGCACGCCCUUGGCCCGGGCGGUGCGGAUGUAGUCCUGCCCGAGCACGUCGAGCAUCGACGAGCGGGUCAGACGCGUGAUGUAGGCCAUCGGGUAGAGGGCGAGCGUGACGACCGGCAGGAU
rnacentral:ncRNA from 1 species